GACGAACGCUGGCGGCGUGCUUAACACAUGCAAGUCGAACGGAAAGGCCCUGCUUUUGUGCGGUGCUCGAGUGGCGAACGGGUGAGUAACACGUGAGUAAUCUGCCCUUGACAUUGGGAUAACUUCAGGAAACAGGGGGUAAUACCGGAUAGGAGCUCCUGAUGCAUAGUGGGGGUUGGAAAGUGUCGGCGGUUGGGGAUGGACUCGCGGCUUAUCAGCCUGUUGGGGGGGUAGUGGCUUACAAAGGCUUCGACGGGUAGCCGGCCUGAGAGGGUGACCGGCCACAUUGGGACUGAGAGACGGCGCAGACUCCUACGGGAGGCAGCAGUGGGGAAUAUUGCACAAUGGGCGCAAGCCUGAUGCAGCAACGCCGCGUGCGGGAUGACGGCCUUCGGGUUGUAAACCGCUUUCGCCGGGGACGAAGCGUGAGUGACGGUAAUGGGUAAAGAAGCACCGGCUAACUACGUG
rnacentral:rRNA from 1 species